UUUAAAGUCUGACCUGCCCACUGAGUAUUUAAAUGGCCGCGGUACUUUGACCGUGCAAAGGUAGCAUAAUAAUUAGUUUUUUAAUUGAAAGCUGGAAUGAAUGGUUGGACGAGAAAAUUACUGUCUUAGUUUAGUUUUAUUAGAAUUUUAUUUUUAAGUUAAAAAGCUUAAUUAUUUUUAAAAGACGAGAAGACCCUAUAGAGUUUUAUAGUUAUUAUUAUUAUUAUUAUUUAGUAUAUUUAUUUAGUAAUAGUAUUAGUUAUUUUAUUGGGGUGAUAGAAAAAUUAAAUUAACUUUUUUUAAUAAUUAGUCAUUAAUGAAUGUUUAAAUGAUCCAUAUUUUAUGAUUAUAAGAUUAAAUUACCUUAGGGAUAACAGCGUAAUUAUUUUUGAGAGUUCUUAUCGAAAAAAUAGGUUGCGACCUCGAUGUUGGAUUAAAAUUAACUUUUGGUGUAGGGGCUAAAAGGUUAGGUCUGUUCGACCUUUAAAAUUUUACAUGAUCUGAGUUUAAACCGGUGUGAGCCAGGUUGGUUUCUAUCUUUAAUUAUUUUAAAUAUUUUAGUACGAAAGGAUUAAAUAUUUAUAAUAUUUAUUAGUUUAAGAUUUUUAGUAAUAA
rnacentral:rRNA from 1 species